UAGGGAAUCUUCGGCAAUGGGGGCAACCCUGACCGAGCAACGCCGCGUGAGUGAAGAAGGUUUUCGGAUCGUAAAGCUCUGUUGUAAGAGAAGAACGUGUGUGAGAGUGGAAAGUUCACACAGUGACGGUAACUUACCAGAAAGGGACGGCUAACUACGUGCCAGCAGCCGCGGUAAUACGUAGGUCCCGAGCGUUGUCCGGAUUUAUUGGGCGUAAAGCGAGCGCAGGCGGUUUAAUAAGUCUGAAGUUAAAGGCAGUGGCUUAACCAUUGUUCGCUUUGGAAACUGUUAAACUUGAGUGCAGAAGGGGAGAGUGGAAUUCCAUGUGUAGCGGUGAAAUGCGUAGAUAGAUGGAGGAACACCGGUGGCGAAAGCGGCUCUCUGGUCUGUAACUGACGCUGAGGCUCGAAAGCGUGGGGAGCAAACAGG
rnacentral:rRNA from 1 species